rnacentral:rRNA from 1 species
GACGAACGCUGGCGGCGUGCCUAAUACAUGCAAGUAGAACGCACAGUUUAUACCGUAGCUUGCUACACCAUAGACUGUGAGUUGCGAACGGGUGAGUAACGCGUAGGUAACCUGCCUGGUAGCGGGGGAUAACUAUUGGAAACGAUAGCUAAUACCGCAUAAUAUUAAUUAUUGCAUGAUAAUUAAUUGAAAGGUGCAAUUGCACCACUACCAGAUGGACCUGCGUUGUAUUAGCUAGUAGGUGAGGUAACGGCUCACCUAGGCGACGAUACAUAGCCGACCUGAGAGGGUGAUCGGCCACACUGGGACUGAGACACGGCCCAGACUCCUACGGGAGGCAGCAGUAGGGAAUCUUCGGCAAUGGACGAAAGUCUGACCGAGCAACGCCGCGUGAGUGAAGAAGGUUUUCGGAUCGUAAAGCUCCUGUUGUAAGAGAAGAACGGGUGUAAGAGUGGAAAGUUCACA